rnacentral:lncRNA from 1 species
CUGAUGGGAUCCGGUGCAUUAGUGCUGGUAUGAUCGCACCCGUCCACUUCUCACGAUCACGCUUAUUUGAACCACUCCCGUCACUACUUCCUCCCUUCAUUUUCAUGCUUUUCGCUUUCUUUUAAUUACAUUUUAGCCCGUUCCCGCCCGAGCCUCGAAAAUGACCGAUCCCUCCGUUCCCCUCCCUCAUUAUGCGUGUAAUAUAAACGAUGUAAUCUCGGUAAGAGUGUCCAUAACGUCGCCGGGAGAAAAAAUUGCAAAAAGAGGAGGGGGGUGCAACACGAGGACUUCCCAAGAGGUCACCCAUCUUAGUACUACUCUCGCACAAGCACGUUUAACUUCGGAGUUCUAAUGGGAUCCGGUGCAUUAGUGCUGGUAUGAUCGCACCCGUCCACUUCUCACGAUCACGCUUAUUUGAACCCCUCCCGUCACUACUUCCUCCCUUCAUUUUCAUGCUUUUCGCUUUCUUUUAAUUACAUUUUGCCCCGUUCCCGCCCGAGCCUGGAAAGUACCCCCCCUCUCGGUUCCCCUCUGUCAUUAUGCAUGUAAUAUAAACGAUGUAACCUCGCUAAGCGUGCCCAUACCGUCGCCGGAGAAAAAUUGCAAAAGGAGGGGGUGCAUGACGAGGACUUCCCAAGAGGUCACCCAUCUUAGUACUACUCUCGCCCAAGCACGUUAAAAUUCAGAAAACUGAUGAGAUCUGGUGCAUUAGUGCUGGUAUUAUUGAACCCAUCUGGUACUCACGCUCUUGUGUAUAUCAACCACUCCCGUCACUACUUCCUCCCUUCAUUAUCAAUCUUUUAUGUUACUUUAAACUGCGUUAAGGCCCGUCCCCCUACGUCAUAAUGUAAGAAACAUAAAUGAUUUUAUCUUGUUAGAAGUGUCGACGGCGCAGGGGGCAAAAAAUUUUGCGAAAAAGAGGGGGUUGCAGACGGGGAGGGGGUGCAUGACGAGGACUUCCCAAGAGGUCACCCAUCUUAGUACUACUCUCGCCCAAGCACGUUUAACUUCGGAGUUCUGAUGGGAUCAGUUGCAUUAGUGCUGGUAUG